GACAUAGGGAGGACAUGAGGGUUCCUUUAACUUAUGUUGUUCAUACACAUGUAUUCAUUGUCAUUGAUUGUAUAUGACUUUUACUGAUAACAUAAUGCAAUAUAGCCAGGACAGCCUUACAAGAGUCGUGACGCUUUGUGUUGCGUUGCUUCGCAUCGCGUCAAUGUCUGUAUGAUCACAAAAUUCAGAGUUUACCCACCUCUAAUUUUACCACUACAGCACUGGUUGGUAGUGAAACAUGCACUUUUUGAAUAACCAUAACUUGCUCAAUUUUCAACCGAUUCUUAAACGGGUUGGUUCGUUAUAAACGUCAGAGAUGUAGAUAAUAAUAAUAAUUAUGGUAUAAAAAUAAUAAGUAAAUAUACAGUGUCAUAACUACAUCACAUUUUUUUGAAAAAAUAAAUUUGGGGUAAUGAUUGUCUCUGCUCGCUUUUCUCUUCUCCUCUCUCCUCCGCUAUUUUACUGUGUUCUUUUAUGUCCCCUCUCCUUUCUCCUCUCCUCUUUCUUCCACUCUCCUCUGCUUUCCUCUCCCAUUUUCUCUCGUCUCCUCUGUCCCCCCCACCCCCCCUCUCUCUUCUGCGUGCAACGUGAACAACUGUAUUAUUCAGUGUUUCCAACUUCAGCUGUUAUCGAAAUAUUGAUGUUUUUGACACUAGUCUGUAACUUGAAUGAAAAAAAUAAGCUGUACUAUGCACCUGGACAUGAAUCCAUAUAUAUUUUACAGGGUAUCAGUAGAGAGGCAGCUCAAGAAGACCAGGCCGAGCAAGUCCUGAGGAUCUGUGUCUACCACACAGAUCCAAGAUAAAGGUGCAUUCAACGCUGAUGUGUUGAUUGUUGUUGAAGGGACUGAGAUAUAAGGCCUGAGAUGCUGAUGAACUUCAGUUACCCCCCAAAAAUGAUGGCGGCAAAUCACUGUCAAAAUUCGAAAGCACAAAUCAGGUUGAUGCGCACGCGUAAAUCAAACAUCCGCGAGCAAAUCUCCGUCUCGCGCGAGAUAUUUGCUCUACGCGCUCGCUGUUUUUCUUUUCGACAGUGAGGGGGCGGAGCCAGUCACCAUGGUCUCUACACUUGAUUGGUUACAAUUAUGAGAUAAAACGUUGUCAAAAACCAUCGCCCCCCUUCGGUAAUCGUAGUGGACCGUAGAUGACAACCAGCUACAACCAUCAUUUACCAUAGUUGUGUGGAUGAAUCAAGAGUCUAGUUUGAGUUACAGUUUGGACUCUAAACUCUUGUGAAGAUUGAAAGGCUUUCAUAGUUAACGAUGCUUUCCGAGGGUCGGAUGCAGAUACGCGAGCCGCCGUUAACGUGAACGUUUGCUAGCGCGUUAGACGCCAACGUCACGUGACUUAACCUGUGACGCACUCGGUCAACAUCUCCGAAGCUGGAUGGAAAAACAGGUGGCGCGUUAUGACGUCACACAAAGAUGAAAGGGAACGCGUCAUGGCCUACGUCAGAGAGUUCUUAAAGCUCCAGAAUGUACUUAUAUGUGCUUGGAGAAGCUACAGAGUGGACGUGUUUGAAGACUUCCAAGCGACAUGGCAGAAUCACAAGGCAGUGGAACUGCUUCCACGGGAGAUAACUGAGAUGGUUGAUGACCCAAAAGAAAAGCAGAUAUCUCAAACCGAAGCCUGUCACACCCAAAAUAAACUCAAUGAAGCAAAGGGUGAGAUAUCACAACUUAAAAUCAAGUUGGGGGAACAAAGUGAAUUGAUUGUUGAUCUGCGAUCGGAAAUAUCUUCACUCAGUGAGAAUGAAGGCAUUUCCAAAGAACAUAAAGAAGCAGAGUGGAAACUUGUAGAGAAAUCGAAAAAGAUUGAUUAUCUUGAACUACAGAACGAUGAGCUUGAAAAGCUCUCUAGAAUUAAUGCUGCCCUUAAGCAGAGUGAAGAGGAGGCUCGCCGAAGAAAUCAUGAGGAUUCGGCCCAAAUUAAAGACUUGAACGAGUUACUAGACAGAACAACCAAAAAACAUUCAGAUUUUCUUCUGGAUUGCGAGGAAAGAGAGGACGAUUUGAUCAAUGAAAAUAAGGUACUUAAAGUAAAGACGGUACACCCUAAUUUUACCACCCUGCUGUGACAUUAAGACACAGCAGACAGCCUUAACGUUAGCAAACUAUGUUACCCACUGCCUCUCUGUGUCGUCUCCCAUCACUCAUCAAUGCAGCAUCAUCUGUGUAGUUACAUUUUUGUUCACAGGGUGUCGACCUAGGUUUACAAUCCUGGAUGUUGAGCCUUUCCAGUAAUUUUCCAACAUGCUUUGCUUGUGACAUUGUUACACAGUCGUCACUGUGGUGGAAAAAGAUCUUAGUUUGCCCAAGUCCUUCAUUUUCAACCUUGAUCCUAACCCUUUUUGAUCACUUGCUGCAAUUAUAAGUCAUCGAAAUUCCUAUGAUCACCUUCUCAGGUCCUCUUUGCUUUGUGUAAACACAGUGGUCGGCCUGGUUUUGUAGAAACUCCUUUUGUGUCAGAUACUCCUGCAACAACUCGUUCCAAUUUCUUCCAGAUUGUCUUGGCCAUAUAAUGACCGUUCUAAUUUGUGCACCAACUCUCUGUGUCAGGAAGGUGCGGGGAAGGCAGGACUCAAACACAGAGUUUCAAACAAAAGGGACUUUAAUAGUCAAAAACCAAAACGCAAAAAGGCCAAGGGGCAAACAUGCAGACCGGAACCAGGAACAUGGACAUGUAUGAAGAACUGUGAUGUAUGAAGUCAUCAUCCUCAGGUGUAAAAUUAGUCUGUGUCUCCCGUUCUACACCGGACUUUACUACAAACUUUACUAGUCUGUGCUUCUGCACUUUCUUACUGACAGGAAAGUAGACAAUGUAUGUAGGACUGUUUUUGUCAUACCCGAUAAAAAUACAUUUUUCACACCUCGGAUCAAGUUUUCCCUUGUCUUGUUUAUAAACAAAACAUUCUGAUCCAAACCUUUGCAUUCUCCACAAGUUGGGCCUUCUUGCAGAAAUGGGGUAUGAUUUUAUGAAGAUUGUAUGCGUAAGAAUAUUACGCAAAUAUCUAAUAUAAGGAAAGAGCAAAUAUCACAAAACAUUUCCCUCACUUCUCACGACCCGUCUUUGGGUCCCAACCCUCAGAUUGGGAACCACGGAGUCCUUGUCUUAGUGACCGGAGGGGCGAGUCCACCAUGGAAUUUGUGUGUGGAGUCUGUGUGAAUGUGAAUGUCUGAAUAGAAGCGGGGGGCAUUUCUAUUUCUAUCUCUUUGUGACCAUGUACCACCUGAGUAGGAGUCACUGGCAGCGUGAUGUUUGUCUGUAGUACUGACGCUGACUCUGACAUUCCACCGGUCACUUCAGACUGCACAUGUCACUUUAACUGUCAUUUUUCACUUUGUCGUCACUCGUCACUUUGUUACUUGUUCGCUAGUGCACUUUAUGCUUAAUAUUUUUUUACUUUUUUAAUAUUUUAAAUUCAUAUACUAACCCAUAGCCUUAUUCCACUAACCCAUUGCAUUAGCAUUUCACUUCAUGUUAUUUUAUUAAUUGUGCACUGCUGUCUUGUUGUCUAUUGUUACACUGUCUACUGUCACGCACCAACCGCCAAGACAAAUUCCUUGUAUGUUUGACAUAUUUUGGCAAUAAAUGUUUCCUGAUUCCUGAUUCCUGUAAUAUCAGUCACACAGUCACAUGUGGCGACCAAAGAACAGUCCUGCUGUGGUUAAAAUAAAGGGUCUGUCUCUCCUGGCAGAACUGCAU
ensembl:lncRNA